AUUGUUAGUUACUUCAAAUAAAAAACCAUCGAAAAGCGAAGAAGCAUUCCGUAAUAUGAAAUGUACACGAAAUUACAAAGGUUGCGAAGAAUUCUGCCGAUGAAUGUGAACUUUCAAAGUUUUUUUUCACGCUUUCGAUGAACAUAAGAACGUUGUAUAUCCACAGUGGAUUAUAUCAUGCAACUAAUCAUGUCCUACAAAUAUAAGUGUAACAAAUGCGUUAUUUUCUAAAACACGCAAAUUCGAAGAGACAAAACUGAAGUUCGAUUGUCUUUUUGAAAGGACAAAAUUUUAUCGUCGGAUGAGGUCCUAGAUUAAUGAACAAACUCACCCUCAGAGAGAAGUACACAGCCAUUGAAGAAGUGAAAGAUCACUAUUGAAAAAAUUAUAUAUCGCAUCUGUGAACAAUAUCGCUGGCAACCACGACACGGAAAGAUCAGCCUCUAUGAAAAACAAGAUUUUUGUCAGUAUGACAAGAUAAAUUGGAAAACAUACUCAAUUGCAAUCGCUCUGCAAACUAAGUGCGUGUGGCUCAGAAUCCGAAAAUACAAAACUGCUACCUGUAGAAAUAAUUCAAAAGGGAGAAAAAAACCGCUCAAGUGCAACGACAUAAGUUCUGGUUUGUAAUCCAAGAUCAACAAAAAGGAGAAUUCCUAUGAAUUUAACCUGCACCCAAUGUUGAAUGUAAAAGUGACGAAUGAAACUAUACGGGUUCUUCGAACCAUCAGAUAACGAAGGGAGUCAGGAACUUGCCGACACUACAGUAAUGACAGAUCUUGGUGUAAAAGUAGCAGCGAUCUACUGCACUUGCAAAUCACGAGUAAGACGUGUUCUAAAAUAUUGUUUUUUGAUGAAAAAGGGC